CAGGCAUAGUUAAGUGAAUAAUUCCUGUUCUAAAUUAGUCUGGUUUUCUCAAAUUUUUAGGUUCUAGGGCUCCUACUAUGAGGUUCUAGAAAAAAAUAAUCUUUUCUUCAACUCUCAUAAGUUCUUUGUUGAAACGGACCCCUGUGCCAAUAGACAGAUUAAUGAGAGAAAAAUAAACAGAAAUUUAAUAGCAUGGAUAUUUUGUAAAUACAUGGGAAACACCCAGGAAAUGAAUAGUCUUAAAGCAGUGGCUUUAAAUUCCAGAUUAUAUAGCAUCUGCAACAAAGAACAGUGAAAUUUUAAAGAAGUGACAAGGCAAAAGAGAAGACUGAAUCUUCAGUGGCAGCAAAUGGUGGGAAGGCAAAUAAAGGAACUGCAUACACAGUGGAGAAGAAAACAGAAAAAGGUAUGGCGUGAUGAAGCUUACAUUCAGACAGACAAGUAAGUAAACAAAUACAUAAGGUAUAAAUAAAGCACUACUCAGUGUUUUAUUUAUUUCAAUUAUCUAUUUUUAUAUAAUAAGCCACCCCCAAAUUUAGUGCCUUAGAGCAACUGUUUUAUUUUGCUCUUUGAUUUUGUAAGUCAGGAAUGUUGACAGGGUGUGGCUGGGUGGUGAGCUCCAAUCGCAACAUCAGCUAGGAUGGUGGGUGGGAAGGAUCCACCUCUAAGAUGUUUACCACACUGGCACAUCCAGUAUUGGCAGUAUUGGCCCCUUUCUCUUGGGGUCUCAUCUUCUAGGGCCUCUCCAGGUGGCUUGGAUUUCUCAAAAAAUGGUUGCUCAGGGUGGCCAUACUUUUUACAUGAUGUCUGGCUUCCAAAAGUCACAAAGCAAAAGUUGUCAAAAUAGUGAAGGUUGAUUCUGGCAGUGGUACAUUGGCAUUUCUCAUGUAAUCAGUCUCAGGGUACCUAAAUUCAAGAAGGGGUUGAAAAAUAGAUUCCACCCUUAAAUGGGAGGUUAGGGGAGGUAGCAAAUUUACACUGCAGAACAGCAGGUGGGAUGGGAAACAUUUUCUUGUCUAUCUUUGGAAAAUACAAUCUACCACAUGUAUGAAGAAGAUGUAAUAUGAAGAGGAGUGGAUUGCAGGGUUGCAGAGUGCCCUUAUUUUAGUUAUGGUACCAGCCAUGAAAAGGAGUAGAGGAAGUUCUAGUUUGAGCAAGUCGAAAUACAAAUGGUCAAUUGACAUUCACAUAAUGUGCCUUUAACGAUACUGAGGACGAUGGUUGGAUGAGAAGUGGCAAGCCAAGAAACAAAUUCAACUAGUCUUGUUUAUCCCUGUCUGAGCAUUUGCUUUAGUUCAUUCUUAAUCAUUUACACUUUUAUGCCUAAUUGUUUGCUGGAGGUGAUACAUUGCAAUAGUGACUGCUUAGAUAUGGUUGUGGUGCCAGGUUCUUAAAUCCAGUUCAAGCAAAUGCAGACAUGUUAUCAAGAUGGAUGUUGCCUAUAAAAUCUUAUGUUCCAUAUAACUAGAGCAGAGCUUGGUGUUGGCAGCACUGUGAGAUGGAGCAGAGAACACAUCAAUACCUUUUGUAAUGAUGUCUAUGACAAUCAAGGCGUAUUUUGUCCCUUAAUGUUUUUGUAAAAUCAAUAUGGAUUAUUGAUCCCAACUCCUUAAAGGCUUCUUGGGAAGUUGUGUAUACCAUUAGCAAUUUAUGAGGUAAUUCAACAGUUGGGACAUUAUUUAGUUUUCCAGGAUUAGAAUCCCUUCUAAAUCACCAGUUCUUGUUCUACCUAAUGCUUUCAGGUAAAUAAUCCUAUGAUGUGCUGCACAGCAUCUGUUGUAUCAGUGGCUUUCGUUUUUUUUUCUUUUGGUGCAUAAAUGUUUCUGGAGGUAUUUGAAAAAUGUUGACUUCCAGAUUUCACAUUCAAAGAAUUAGAUUUAGUCUGGAGUAAGACCUGAACAUCUGUAUUUGGAAUACAUGCUGGAUAAUGCUGAGGUAGAUGCUCAAAAUAUUUACCGCUUUGAGUUGGUAGGUUUAUGAUGGCUGGUGUCCAUAUGGAUCUAGUAAAUUUCUGCAUCAGGCAAAGAGAAAAAAACAUCAUCUACCUAUACGUCCUUUACCCCUGUUUUAGUCCAUUUCUUGAUGCUAUAACAGAAUGCCAGAGGCUGGGUAAUUUACAAAGAAAAGAGUUUGUUUUUGUUUUUUUAAGUUCAUGAUUCUGGUGAAUGGAAAGUCCAAGAUCAUGGCACUGGCAUUUGCUCAGCUUCUGGUGAGGGCCACGUGCUGUGUCAAGACAUGGUAGAGGCAAGGACAGGUGAGUGGGUGUAUAAAUAAAUCAAACACGUGGAGGAAUAACCUGCUCUCGUGGUAACUGGUCUAGUUCCAUGGGAGUGAAAACUCAUUCUUGUGAGAUAACAUUAAUCUAUUCAUGAGAAAUCUGCCCCAUGACUCACCUUCCACUAGGCCCCACCUCCCAAUGCUGCUACAUUAGGAAUCAAAUUUCAGCAUAAGAUUUGGCAGGGGCAUACUACAUUCAAACCACAGCAACUCUUUGUCUUUCUUCUCUGUCUAUACUAACAGCGUUUAAGCCCUGUAUGAGGGGUAAACUGUAGAAUACAUGCCUUAAAAUGAAGGUAGUUUUAUAAUUCUGACAAAAUAAUAAUACCACAAGUAACAUAAUAAUAAAAUACUUACUAUUUCUGUUAUUUUACUUUAGUUCCCAUCCUCACAUUAUCUGAUUUAAACCAAAGAAGCAACAACAAAUCAAAGCUUGGAUUAAGAAAAGGAUUGAUCUGAAGGGACCAAGAGCCAACUCAUUUACAUUCACGGAGCGUUCUUUUAGUGUACUUGCUUUUACAGAUAGACUGGUCCAUCUGCAGUGAAUCAGCAGGCCUGUUUACUUAGCUCUUGGCUUUCUUAUAGUUCUAGAGAAAUAUCAGUGGUUGAGAUAAUUAUACAGUGAGACUACAGUUAUUGUGGAGAAAUUGCCUUGUCAAAGAUGGGUGUGCAAUAAUGCAGUCUCUGCAAAAAGCCAUGCCACAGCCUUUUCAUCACUUUAUUAUUAACUCCUUAGCUACCAAUUUAUCAUGGUAAUUAAGGUAAAUUUUAAAAAACAUGAAAAGGUAAAAAAAGACCUCAAUAAUUAUGCAACCUCAAUGUUACAAAUUUUUAUAUUAUUUAGAUGCAAAUUAUUUUAAAUGUUUAGUAUGUCUGUAUAAUUUUAGCUCUUUCCCCUUCCUUUUCAUUUUUCGUAUGUAGCCAUGUUUGCCAAUCGUUUGCUCAUACCAUGAGAUAUAGUUGGAGGUGGCUGGGUAAGGUAAUCUGAAUUAUAGAGGCAGGGAAGGUAAGAAAUUUCCUUUUUCUUUCUUGGAUCUUGUAUAUGUGUCACUUAGAUCUUGUAUAUGUUUCAGCAUGUAUCUUUUUGAAUACAGUUAUUUACCAGAAUGGUGAUGACUAAGAAACACUUGGUUUCUGGCCAGGCACAGUGGCUCACACCUGUAAUCUCAGCACUUUGGGACAUCCACAAGGUGGGUGGAUCACUUGAGGCUGGGAGUUAGAGACCAGCCUGGCUAACAUGGUGAAACCCUGUUUCUACUAAAAAUAUAAAAAUUAGUCUGGCAUGGUGGUUUAUGCCUGUAAUCCCAGCUGGUUGGGAGGCUAAGGCAUGAGAAUUACUUGAACCUGGGAGAUGGAGGUUGCAGUGAGCUGAAAUCAUGCCAUUGCAUUCCAGCCUGGGUGAUAGAGACUCUAUCUAAAAAAAAAAAAGAAAGACUUGGUUUCUGUGAAUUGCUCACAGUCUAGUGGGGGAAGGGGAGAAACUGAAAUGUAAAAAUGAUCAGCACAAAUGUUGUGAAAAAUGCUAGAUAAAUGCAGACUUGGGUACUAUGGGAAUUAAGGGGAGGGAAUACCUACAGAAUAAAUCAUGCAAUCAACCUUGUCCAUGGCUUCUCUGUGAAUGACUUCUAGGCCUCAGUGGUUCAAUUGUCUUGUGAAGUUUGUGCAACAAGACAGUUAGUCUCACAUCUGUGCCAAGAAGUACUAUAAAUUCCCAUUGCUUGAAAAAAUAUAUUCUCCAUGAUUGGCUGAGAAUUCGUGAUUACAUAACUAGGUAUAAAUAAGUAUAAUCUAUUCAUAUGAAAAUAUAAGUAAUUGUGGGAGACAUAAUGUUUUUAGCUGUAUAAAUUCUUUAGCCUUAAAUGUAUACAUGCUUUUUGGAAAGUAGGUUCAGGUGGAGGAGAGGAAAGAAAGUCUGAGGCCAUCAAGUACCUUGUUAAAUGGAUAAGUGGAUGCUUAUACAGCAAAAUAAGGAUAAAGAUAACCAAGAAAGGGAAAUACACAAAAGCUCACCCUAUUUCACAACUUUGCAUAAGAAUCUCCCUCACACUACAUGUAAGCUCUGGCAAACAAAGACUAUUGCUGCUUAAAGUUAAGGGUGACAUGGCCAUAGAGAGGAACAGCCAAAGCAAACCACAUGGAUAACUCAUUGGCCCCUUGCACUGUUAAGAACUGUGACAUCCCUUCACUGUGAUGUGAUAUUUGUCUUCUGACCUCAUUCUCCUAAAAUGGUUGCUUUUCCAUUGGCUUUCAGGCUUCACUCCCUCUCAGUUUGGUAUCAAUGCACACGGACAGCUUUCUGACUCAACCAGGGCUUAUUUCUAGUGUUUUCUUUCAGAAUACCCUUUGGUAGAUAACCUAAUUAUGGGAAAGGUAGCAGUGAUUCUAGGACCCCAGAAACAAAGCACGCUUGAGAUUCUAGCUCCUAGGAAUCAUAAUAUUAAUCAUUCAUUAGAUUAAGAUCCUGUUUUCAUAAUUCCUUUGGGACCCUUGUAUCAGAAAUUACCUGGUGGGCUGAAUACAACUGUAGAUUCCUGACUCUAUUCCAGAAGAGAAUAUCUAAGUGUGGACCCUGGGGAUUGAUAGGCUUGCUCAAGUUUGAGAAUCUCUGGGAUAGCUAAAACAGCAAAGUUCCAUAGGACUAUAGUGUGUGAAAAAUUAUUGACAAACAA